AUAUCGUGUUGUGGACAUUUUCUGAAUAGUCCCUUGAAUCUUUCCCAUGCUUCAUAUAAAGACUCACUUUUUUUUUUUUUCAAAAGAAGUGAUAUCCGCCUUGAGUUU